AAUAAUGGCCUUAAUGAGAAGGUGAAGAUGAUGGAGGGGAAGUUGUUGGAGCUUAGUGUAAUACAGGAUGAGAAAAGAGAGCUGCAUAAAAUGGUGGAGGACCUGAAGUGCAAGUAUGAUGAGGUUGAGUUGAUACGAGCAGAUCAAGAAAAGCAGAUCAUCAAACUUUCUGGAGAUUCUGAUCAACAAUGUAAGGCGGUAGAAUGCAUUCAGGACGCAAAUCAAGAAUUGGAGACUGAACUGGGGAAGUUGAAUACAGAACUUUUAGAAACUAAGAUCAGGGAGGAAAGUUUGAAUUGUG
rnacentral:misc_RNA from 1 species